GAUGAAGAACGUAGCAAAAUGCGAUAAGUAAUGUGAAUUGCAGAAUUCAGUGAAUCAUCGAAUCUUUGAACGCACAUUGCGCCCGCUGGUAUUCCGGCGGGCAUGCCUGUGCGAGCGUCAUUUCAACCCUCAAGCCCCCGGGUUUGGUGUUGGGGAUCGGCUCUGCCCUUCUGGGCGGUGCCGCCCCCGAAAUACAUUGGCGGUCUCGCUGCAGCCUCCAUUGCGUAGUAGCUAACACCUCGCAACUGGAACGCGGCGCGGCCAUGCCGUAAAACCCCAACUUCUGAAUGUUGACCUCGGAUCAGGUAGGAAUACCCGCUGAACUUAAGCAUAUCAAUAAGCGGAGGA
rnacentral:misc_RNA from 1 species